rnacentral:miRNA from 1 species
GUGUGUGUGUGUGUGUGUGUGUGUGUGUGUGUGUGUGUGUGUGUGUCCAGGCUAUGUACACACACAUA